GUACUCACUUCAGCAGCACAUAUACUGAAACUGGAAUGAUACAGAGAAGAUUAGCAUGGCCCCUGCGCAAGGAUGACAUCAUAGCAGCAACUCAGAGCAAUGCACUAUU